rnacentral:rRNA from 1 species
UUAAGUUAUUAAGGGCGCACGGUGGAUGCCUUGGCACUAGAAGCCGAUGAAGGACGUUACUAACGACGAUAUGCUUUGGGGAGCUGUAAGUAAGCUUUGAUCCAGAGAUUUCCGAAUGGGGAAACCCAGCAUGAGUUAUGUCAUGUUAUCGAUAUGUGAAUACAUAGCAUAUCAGAAGGCACACCCGGAGAACUGAAACAUCUUAGUACCCGGAGGAAGANAAAGAAAAUUCGAUUCCCUUAGUAGCGGCGAGCGAAACGGGAAGAGCCCAAACCAACAAGCUUGCUUGUUGGGGUUGUAGGACACUCUAUACGGAGUUACAAAGGACGACAUUAGACGAAUCAUCUGGAAAGAUGAAUCAAAGAAGGUAAUAAUCCUGUAGUCGAAAAUGUUGUCUCUCUUGAGUGGAUCCUGAGUACGACGGAGCACGUGAAAUUCCGUCGGAAUCUGGGAGGACCAUCUCCUAAGGCUAAAUACUCUCUAGUGACCGAUAGUGAACCAGUACCGUGAGGGAAAGGUGAAAAGCACCCCGGAAGGGGAGUGAAAUAGAACCUGAAACCGUGUGCUUACAAGUAGUCAGAGCCCGUUAAUGGGUGAUGGCGUGCCUUUUGUAGAAUGAACCGGCGAGUUACGAUUUGAUGCAAGGUUAAGCAGUAAAUGUGGAGCCGUAGCGAAAGCGAGUCUGAAUAGGGCGUUUAGUAUUUGGUCGUAGACCCGAAACCAGGUGAUCUACCCUUGGUCAGGUUGAAGUUCAGGUAACACUGAAUGGAGGACCGAACCGACUUACGUUGAAAAGUGAGCGGAUGAACUGAGGGUAGCGGAGAAAUUCCAAUCGAACCUGGAGAUAGCUGGUUCUCUCCGAAAUAGCUUUAGGGCUAGCCUCAAGUGAUGAUUAUUGGAGGUAGAGCACUGUUUGGACGAGGGGCCCCUCUCGGGUUACCGAAUUCAGACAAACUCCGAAUGCCAAUUAAUUUAACUUGGGAGUCAGAACAUGGGUGAUAAGGUCCGUGUUCGAAAGGGAAACAGCCCAGACCACCAGCUAAGGUCCCAAAAUAUAUGUUAAGUGGAAAAGGAUGUGGCGUUGCCCAGACAACUAGGAUGUUGGCUUAGAAGCAGCCAUCAUUUAAAGAGUGCGUAAUAGCUCACUAGUCGAGUGACACUGCGCCGAAAAUGUACCGGGGCUAAACAUAUUACCGAAGCUGUGGAUUGUCCUUUGGACAAUGGUAGGAGAGCGUUCUAAGGGCGUUGAAGCAUGAUCGUAAGGACAUGUGGAGCGCUUAGAAGUGAGAAUGCCGGUGUGAGUAGCGAAAGACGGGUGAGAAUCCCGUCCACCGAUUGACUAAGGUUUCCAGAGGAAGGCUCGUCCGCUCUGGGUUAGUCGGGUCCUAAGCUGAGGCCGACAGGCGUAGGCGAUGGAUAACAGGUUGAUAUUCCUGUACCACCUAUAAUCGUUUUAAUCGAUGGGGGGACGCAGUAGGAUAGGCGAAGCGUGCGAUUGGAUUGCACGUCUAAGCAGUAAGGCUGAGUAUUAGGCAAAUCCGGUACUCGUUAAGGCUGAGCUGUGAUGGGGAGAAGACAUUGUGUCUUCGAGUCGUUGAUUUCACACUGCCGAGAAAAGCCUCUAGAUAGAAAAUAGGUGCCCGUACCGCAAACCGACACAGGUAGUCAAGAUGAGAAUUCUAAGGUGAGCGAGCGAACUCUCGUUAAGGAACUCGGCAAAAUGACCCCGUAACUUCGGGAGAAGGGGUGCUCUUUAGGGUUAACGCCCAGAAGAGCCGCAGUGAAUAGGCCCAAGCGACUGUUUAUCAAAAACACAGGUCUCUGCUAAACCGUAAGGUGAUGUAUAGGGGCUGACGCCUGCCCGGUGCUGGAAGGUUAAGAGGAGUGGUUAGCUUCUGCGAAGCUACGAAUCGAAGCCCCAGUAAACGGCGGCCGUAACUAUAACGGUCCUAAGGUAGCGAAAUUCCUUGUCGGGUAAGUUCCGACCCGCACGAAAGGCGUAACGAUUUGGGCACUGUCUCAACGAGAGACUCGGUGAAAUCAUAGUACCUGUGAAGAUGCAGGUUACCCGCGACAGGACGGAAAGACCCCGUGGAGCUUUACUGUAGCCUGAUAUUGAAAUUCGGCACAGCUUGUACAGGAUAGGUAGGAGCCUUUGAAACGUGAGCGCUAGCUUACGUGGAGGCGCUGGUGGGAUACUACCCUAGCUGUGUUGGCUUUCUAACCCGCACCACUUAUCGUGGUGGGAGACAGUGUCAGGCGGGCAGUUUGACUGGGGCGGUCGCCUCCUAAAAGGUAACGGAGGCGCUCAAAGGUUCCCUCAGAAUGGUUGGAAAUCAUUCAUAGAGUGUAAAGGCAUAAGGGAGCUUGACUGCGAGACCUACAAGUCGAGCAGGGUCGAAAGACGGACUUAGUGAUCCGGUGGUUCCGCAUGGAAGGGCCAUCGCUCAACGGAUAAAAGCUACCCCGGGGAUAACAGGCUUAUCUCCCCCAAGAGUUCACAUCGACGGGGAGGUUUGGCACCUCGAUGUCGGCUCAUCGCAUCCUGGGGCUGUAGUCGGUCCCAAGGGUUGGGCUGUUCGCCCAUUAAAGCGGUACGCGAGCUGGGUUCAGAACGUCGUGAGACAGUUCGGUCCCUAUCCGUCGUGGGCGUAGGAAAUUUGAGAGGAGCUGUCCUUAGUACGAGAGGACCGGGAUGGACAUACCUCUGGUGUACCAGUUGUCGUGCCAACGGCAUAGCUGGGUAGCUAUGUGUGGACGGGAUAAGUGCUGAAAGCAUCUAAGCAUGAAGCCCCCCUCAAGAUGAGAUUUCCCAACUUCGGUUAUAAGAUCCCUCAAAGAUGAUGAGGUUAAUAGGUUCGAGGUGGAAGCAUGGUGACAUGUGGAGCUGACGAAUACUAAUCGAUCGAAGACUUAAUCAA